AGAGUUUGAUCAUGGCUCAGGAUGAACGCUGGUGGCGUGCUUAACACAUGCAAGUCGAACGAACCUUCGGGUGAGUGGCAAACGGGUGAGUAAUACUUAGGUAAUCUGCCCCAAAGUUUGGAAUAACGUUUCGAAAGGAAUGCUAAUACCGAAUAUCCUUAUUAUUUCUAUGAAAUUUUAAGAAAAGAUUUUUCGCUUUGGGAGGAGCCUAUUUCUGAUUAGCUUGUUGGUAGGGUAAUGGCCUACCAAGGCGACGAUCAGUAGCUGGUCUGAGAGGAUGAACAGCCACACUGGAACUGAGACACGGUCCAGACUCCUACGGGAGGCAGCAGUGAGGAAUAUUGCGCAAUGGGGGAAACCCUGACGCAGCGACGCCACGUGAGCGAUGAAGUCUUUCGGGAUGUAAAGCUCUGUCAAGAGGGAAGAUUAUGACGGUACCUCUAAAGGAAGCCCCGGCUAACUACGUGCCAGCAGCCGCGGUAAUACGUAGGGGGCGAGCGUUAUCCGGAUUUAUUGGGCAUAAAGAGCAUGUAGGCGGCAUUUUAAGUUAGAUGUUAAAUUUUUCAGCUCAACUGAAAGUUGCAUUUAAUACUGAAAUGCUAGAGAUCAGUAGAGGAAAGCGGAACUCACAGUGUAGCGGUGAAAUGCGUAGAUAUUGUGAGGAACACCAGUUGCGAAGGCGGCUUUCUAGCCUGAAUCUGACGCUGAGAUGCGAAAGCGUGGGGAGCGAACGGGANUAGAUACCCCGGUAGUCCACGCCGUAAACGUUGUUCACUANGUGUUGGA
rnacentral:rRNA from 1 species